CAGCCGUAAACUAUGCGCGUUAGGUGUAUCGGUGACCACGAGUUACCGAGGUGCCGAAGGGAAACCGUGAAACGUGCCGCCUGGGAAGUACGGUCGCAAGGCUGAAACUUAAAGGAAUUGGCGGGGGAGCACCACAACAGGUGGAGCCUGCGGUUUAAUUGGAUUCAACGCCGAAAACUCACCAGCAGCGACUGUUACAUGAAAGUCAGGUUGAUGACCUUACUAGAUUUUCAGAGAGGUGGUGCAUGGCGUCAGUGACU
rnacentral:rRNA from 1 species